AGACCCGAAACCCGGUGAUCUAGCCAUGGGCAGGUUGAAGGUUGGGUAACACUAACUGGAGGACCGAACCGACUAAUGUUGAAAAAUUAGCGGAUGACCUGUGGCUGGGGGUGAAAGGCCAAUCAAACCGGGAGAUAGCUGGUUCUCCCCGAAAGCUAUUUAGGUAGCGCCUCGUGAAUUCAUCUCCGGGGGUAGAGCACUGUUUCGGCUAGGGGGCCAUCCCGGCUUACCAACCCGAUGCAAACUGCGAAUACCGGAGAAUGUUAUCACGGGAGACACACGGCGGGUGCUAACGUCCGUCGUGAAGAGGGAAACAACCCAGACCGCCAGCUAAGGUCCCAAAGUCAUGGUUAAGUGGGAAACGAUGUGGGAAGGCCCAGACAGCCAGGAUGUUGGCUUAGAAGCAGCCAUCAUUUAAAGAAAGCGUAAUAGCUCACUGGUCGAGUCGGCCUGCGCGGAAGAUGUAACGGGGCUAAACCAUGCACCGAAGCUGCGGCAGCGAACGUAUCACCCAAGACAACUUUACGGAGUUGACGAUUGACGGAGCGAAGCGACGUCAAAGCGUUCAUUAAAGUCGAGUUGGCUUAGGGAUACGUUCGUUGGGUAGGGGAGCGUUCUGUAAGCCUGUGAAGGUGUGUCGUGAGGCAUGCUGGAGGUAUCAGAAGUGCGAAUGCUGACAUAAGUAACGAUAAAGCGGGUGAAAAGCCCGCUCGCCGGAAGACCAAGGGUUCCUGUCCAACGUUAAUCGGGGCAGGGUGAGUCGACCCCUAAGGCGAGGCCGAAAGGCGUAGUCGAUGGGAAACGGGUUAAUAUUCCCGUACUUGGUGUUACUGCGAAGGGGGGACGGAGAAGGCUAUGUUGGCCGGGCGACGGUUGUCC
rnacentral:rRNA from 2 species